GACGAACGCUGGCGGCGUGCUUAACACAUGCAAGUCGAACGAAGUGGCGCACGGGUGUGUAACGCGUAAUCAACCUGCCCUUCAGAGGGGGACAACAGUUGGAAACGACUGCUAAUACCGCAUACUGAAGGAGGGGAUUGCGUCUGAUUAGCUAGCUGGAGGGGUAACGGCCCACCAAGGCGAUGAUCAGUAGCCCGUCUGAAGGGAUGAACGGCCACAUUGGGACUGAGACACGGCCCAGGCUCCUACGGGAGGCAGCAGUGGGGAAUCUUCCGCAAUGGACGAAAGUCUGGCGGAGCAACGCCGGGUGAGUGAUGACGGCCUUCGGGUUGUAAAGCUCUGUUAAUCAGGACGCGGUACCGGAAUAGAAAGCCACGGCUAACUACGUGCCAGCCGCCGCCGUAAUAC
rnacentral:rRNA from 1 species